rnacentral:rRNA from 1 species
GAUGAACGCUGGCGGCGUGCUUAACACAUGCAAGUCGAACGAUGAAGCCCAGCUUGCUGGGUGGAUUAGUGGCGAACGGGUGAGUAACACGUGAGUAACCUGCCCUUAACUCUGGGAUAAGCCUGGGAAACUGGGUCUAAUACCGGAUAGGAGCGUCCACCGCAUGGUGGGUGUUGGAAAGAUUUAUCGGUUUUGGAUGGACUCGCGGCCUAUCAGCUUGUUGGUGAGGUAAUGGCUCACCAAGGCGACGACGGGUAGCCGGCCUGAGAGGGUGACCGGCCACACUGGGACUGAGACACGGCCCAGACUCCUACGGGAGGCAGCAGUGGGGAAUAUUGCACAAUGGGCGCAAGCCUGACGCAGCGACGCCGCGUGAGGGAUGACGGCCUUCGGGUUGUAAACCUCUUUCAGUAGGGAAGAAGCGAAAGUGACGGUACCUGCAGAAGAAGCACCGGCUAACUACGUG